ACACUCCUGCGGGAGGCAGCAGUGGGGAAUAUUGCACAAUGGGCGCAAGCCUGAUGCAGCCAUGCCGCGUGUAUGAAGAAGGCCUUCGGGUUGUAAAGUACUUUCAGCGGGGAGGAAGGCGAUAAGGUUAAUAACCUUGUUGAUUGACGUUACCCGCAGAAGAAGCACCGGCUAACUCCGUGCCAGCAGCCGCGGUAAUACGGAGGGUGCAAGCGUUAAUCGGAAUUACUGGGCGUAAAGCGCACGCAGGCGGUCUGUCAAGUCGGAUGUGAAAUCCCCGGGCUCAACCUGGGAACUGCAUUCGAAACUGGCAGGCUAGAGUCUUGUAGAGGGGGGUAGAAUUCCAGGUGUAGCGGUGAAAUGCGUAGAGAUCUGGAGGAAUACCGGUGGCGAAGGCGGCCCCCUGGACAAAGACUGACGCUCAGGUGCGAAAGCGUGGGGAGCAAACAGGAUUAGAAACCCUUGUAGUCCCAUG
rnacentral:rRNA from 1 species